rnacentral:rRNA from 1 species
UACAGAGGUCCCAAGCGUUGUUCGGAUUCAUUGGGCGUAAAGGGUGCGUAGGCGGCGCGGUAAGUCGGGUGUGAAAUCUCGGAGCUUAACUCCGAAACUGCAUUCGAUACUGCCGUGCUUGAGGACUGGAGAGGAGACUGGAAUUUACGGUGUAGCGGUGAAAUGCGUAGAUAUCGUAAGGAAGACCAGUGGCGAAGGCGGGUCUCUGGACAGUUCCUGACGCUGAGGCACGAAGGCCAGGGGAGCAAAACGGGG